ACGAACGCUGGCGGCGUGCUUAACACAUGCAAGUCGAACGGAAUUGACCCAACUUGAUCCUCUGCGCAAGAUUACUACUGAUAAUGGCCAACGGGUGAAUCUCCCCUGAGCUCCCUGACUAUGACGGUGGGAUAGCCUCGGUAAACCAGAAUUACUACCUCUUAUGAGCGUAGAAGCACAUGUUUCAACGGUCAGAUGAUUUCUCCGUCCUAUAUGGUCUCUCGUCUGAUUAUGCUCUUGGUGAGAUAACACCCCUCCCCGGCCACAAUCGGUGUCCGGUCUGAUAGGAUGAGCGGCCCCGUUGGAACUGAUACACGAUCCAAACUCCUACAGGAUGCAACAGUGGGGACUAUUGCGCUGUGGGGGAAACCCUGAUGCAACGACGCCCCGUGAACUAAAAACGUCUUCCUAUCGGAAAGAUCUGUCCUAUGCGAAGAUUGUGACAGUACCAUAGAAUAACUCUCCGGCUAAAUACGUGCCAACACCCACGGUAAUACGCUAUGGAGCGAGCGUUGUCCCGAAUUAUUGUCCGUAGAGGGUACGCACGCCGUUUAGUAAAUCCAAUGUUAUUAAUCCGGGCUCAGCCCCGUAUAGCAUUGGAAACUGAUUGACUUGAGUAAUGCAGAGGAUAGUGGAAUUCCUCCUGUAGUGGUGAAAUACUUCGAUAUUAUGAGGAAUACCACUAACGGAGGCGACUUUCUGGACGCCAACUGACGCUGAUGAACAACAGCGUGGUGAGCAAACAAGAUUAUAUACCCUGCUGGUCCACCCCGCAAACAAUGAAUGCUACGUGUUGGGGGUCUCACCUGCCGAGCCCAAUGUCACACAUUACGCAUUCCGCCUGCCGACUGCGCACUCCAGUGUGAAACUCAAAAGAAUUGACAGUUGACCCGCACCCCCCACAAACCGUGUAGUUUGAUUCUAUGCCACCGCGAAUAACCUUAACACUUCUUGACGUGUGACUGAAACGUAUACAGAUAUACCCCUCUCUUUCUCAUACAUCCAUACACGCGGUGCAUGCAUGUCUUCCGCUCGUGCCGGGAGAUGUAGGGUUAAGUCCCCCCCCCAGCGCACCCCCUAUACUUAUUUACCAGCCAAUAAUGUCUGGGACUCACUCUAGACUGCCUAUCACAAAUCACACGAAGGAGGGGAUGACAUCACAUCAUCCUGCCCUUUAUGUCCUGCGCUACACUCGUGCUAUCCUGGUUGGUACAGACGGCGGCUAUAUAGUGAUAUAAUGCUCAACUCAUCCAGCCAAUCCCAGUCCAGAUUGUAAGCUGCGACUCGCCUACGUCAACAUGGAGUUGCAAGCACUCGCAGAUCANAAUGUCCCGGUGAAUGCGUACUCGGUUCU
rnacentral:rRNA from 1 species